rnacentral:rRNA from 1 species
AUUGAACGCUGGCGGCAGGCCUAACACAUGCAAGUCGAACGAGUGGCGGACGGGUGAGUAAUGUCUGGGAAACUGCCUGAUGGAGGGGGAUAACUACUGGAAACGGUAGCUAAUACCGCAUACCAUCGGAUGUGCCCAGAUGGGAUUGGCUAGUGGGUGGGGUAAAGGCUCACCUAGGCGACGAUCCCUAGCGGGUCGGAGAGGAGGAACGGCCACAUUGGAACGGGGAAACGGCCCAGACCCCUCCGGGGGGCAGAAGGGGGGAACAUUGCCAAAGGGGGUAAAGCCGGAUGAAGCCAUGCCGGGUGGAUGAGGCAGGCCUGCGGGUUGUAAAGUACUUUCAGCGGGGAGGCGUUACCCGAAGAAGAAGCAACGGCUAACUCCGUGCCAGCAGCCGCGGUAAUUC